GUGGGUAAUGAAAAGAAACAACAGGGUGUUUUUGAUUAAUAAAAAGAAGAUUUGGACAUAGAAGAUUUAGAGCAGAAUAUGAAAAAACAAAGUAAGAGAGGGGGGUUUAUCUCAAAAGAAAAUUAACAAAAUUAAAGAUAACCAUAUCAAGCAGAAGAAAAACCCGAGUGGAGACAAAACCUCAACUCAAGCAUUGUCAAGGAUAACAAGG
rnacentral:lncRNA from 1 species